rnacentral:lncRNA from 1 species
UGAGAACUAUUCACUACUCAUAAACACAUUUUUAAAUAUUUUUUUGUUUUAUCAUUUCUAAAUCUUAUUUCAUCAAAUAUAAGAUUGUUAACACAUAACUGCCUUGUCCACUACAAUUUGAAUUUGACUUUCAAGGCAGCAUAUUCACUUUGGUCCACUACAAUUCAGAGGGCUAGUUAGGGCAAGCUCUUUUUGUCUCCUAUGCUUCCUUCUACUAAGUCCUUAGCCCUUUGGAAACACAUUCAUAAUGUCAUCCCAAAUGAUGAUAACCUUAUGAAGAAAGGAUUUAUAAUGGUAUCUUGUUGCAGCCUUUGUACUCAUGUUUUUUAGGAUGCUAAUAAUUUAUGUUUUGAAUGCUCAUUUGCACCUCAUAUAUGGUGUUGAAUUCAGCUUUGACAGGGGCUCCUUUAAAUCUCUCAUUAGCAGUCAACUUGCUAGACAUUAUCCAGAACAAUUGCAAUUCUUAGGUGAAUGACCUUUUAUAUUUCUACCUUUACUAAUAUCGUUUGAUGUAUUUGGUUUGGCAUAAACAAGCUUCGUUUCGGCAAUAUCAAGAUGGACUUGCACCUUCUUAUGCAUAUAAUUAGAUUAGAUGGUAUGCUCUCAGUUGUACUUUUUAAAAAGAUUAUGUAUUUGUGCAUCCAAGUUUACUAUAAUUGAAGUCUUUAUAGUUGUUUGCCACACUCCAAAGGCCCCCAAAACAUCACAUGUCAAAUGGAUAGCUCAAACCUACAAUGAAUCAAGUGUAACACAAUUGGAUUCUCAAUAUGGUCUCCUAGUUUAUCCUCUAGUGCAUGUACUUUCAAAUAUUGUACUGACACUUUUUAGGUGUUGUUGCCCAACACAUAGGUAUGUCCAACUCUUUCAGUACAACGUUGAUUGUUGCAAUGUUUGUUGUGCAAAUUGCACAUUCAAAAGGAUGGAUUAAUUUUUGGCUUGAGUGUGAUUUUGUGUUGGUGAUUCAAGCAUUCUCAAAUCCCAAAGUUGUGUCUUGGAUGCUUCAAAAAUGUUGGUUCAAUUGUCUAAAUCUAAUUAAAGGCUUGAUUUCAUAGUCUCUCGUAUCUUUAAAUAAGGGAAUGUUCGUGGUGAUGGCCUUGCCAAUGCAACUUUUGGAAUAGAUGACUUAGUUUGGUGGAAUUCAAUUUCUAGUUGUACUCAUGAGGAUUUUUUCAUAAACAUGUGUGAACUUUCCAAUUUCAUAUUUCAUUAGUUACUUUUUGUCUUAAAUUGCACAUUUGUUUUCUUCACCAG